rnacentral:lncRNA from 10 species
UGGAUAGUGAUUCCUCUGAUGGAUCUCAGCAAAGUAAAUUGAAAGCCACUGGAAAGGAUUCACCAGUCUAGAUGCCAUUAAGAACAUUUGUGAUUCAUUGAAGAAGGUCAAAAUAUCAACAUUAAAGAGUUUGGAAGAAAUUGAUUCCAACCUUCACAGAUGACUUUGAAGAAUCCAAGGCUUCAGUGGAGAAAGUAACUGCAAAUGUGGUAGAAAUAGCAAGAGAACUAGAAUUAAAAGUGGAGUCUGAAGAGGUUACUGAAUUGCUAUAAUCUCAUGAUAGAGUUUGAAGGGAUGAGCAAGUUGCUUCUUAUGGGUAAGCAAAAAAAAAAGGAGAACCUUAAAAUUAAAACUACUGCUGUAAAGAUGCUAUGAACACUGCCAAAAUGACAACAAAGCAUUUAGAAUGGCACAUAAACUUAGUUUAUAAGUAGUGACAAGGUCUGAGAGGAUUGACUCCACUUUGAAAGAAGUUCUACAUAAGGUAUCAAACAUCUCAUGCAACAGCGAAACUUUUCAUGAAAGGAAAAGUCAAUCAAUGCAGGAAACUUCAUUGUCUUAUUUCAGAAAUUGCCACAGCCACUUCAACUUUUCACAACCACCACCUUGAUCAACCAGCAGCCAUCAACAUUGAGGGAAGACUCUCCACCAGCAAAAAGAUUACAAUUCACUGAAGGUUCAGAUGAUUAUCAGCCUUUUUUGCAAUAAAGUCUUUUCAGUUAAGAUCCCAUGCUUAUUCAGCUAUAGAAACUCAUAGGUUACUUUAAUGUUACUACUGAACCUGGAUAUAGAAAAGAAUUCUCCUGGAACCUUCAACUGCAUUGCCUAGAAUUUGGACUGUCAUCUGAAAAAGGCACAGGAUGGCAAAUAUCCAAGGAAAAGCUGCAAUGGCACCUGUUGCAUGUCCAAGUUUCAGACACAAAAACAAACGUGCUGAGUUUUGUUUUUGGCUAGAAUAAGGUCUCUGGAUUUGAGACAUCUGUAAAGUACACAGAUCAGGAAAACUGCCUUCUAUAGCAAGUAUGUGCAAGGUAUGCUCUUAGAAGCAGUAACUGAGGGGACAAUGUCCAUUCAGGCCAGCCAGAGAAUAUGUCAUCCACCUCAGAGAAAGGUAUAGGGCUGGAGGUCCCUGAGUAGGUAGGGGGAGGGCAGUAGGAAGGAUUCUAUAGAGUCCAACAAAGCAUUCUUUGAGAGAAAGAACCAGCAUUUAUUUGCACAUCUGCCAAACUGAUGGCCUCAAUGCCAGAUUCCAAUGGCAAUGAUCAAGUUAAACCUUGCGCUUUUCUUCUAGUUCCUCUUCUUUGCCUGAUCUUAAAGGAGCCAGACGCAACAGCUAACAAGUGGUAGAAGAAAUAGAACAAAACCAGUGAAGAAAUAGGCCAUGUUUUGGCCCAUUCCUCAAUGCUGCCGGUUGUAGAACCUGGGUUAUGCCUAAGCCAAGACCGGGGAAUACCAAGAUGAACAGAAGAGAAUCUUUAAACUGCAUGUAGAAUGCAUUUUAUUUGGAUUAGACAGGACUUCUUAAAGUUAUUUCCCAAAUGCAAACUAUUGAGUAGAGUCCCUUCAACACACCAGGUAGGAUAAUUUGCCUAUUUAGAAAAAUGACAAGUAUUAGCAAAGUCAAACUUCCUCAUGUUAUCCAGUAUACUAGAUGGGGGUCAAUGAGUUUUGCAGUUGAAAUGAUCUUAACUAUGUAAUAAUUUUGAAAAUAAUUCAUAUAGGAUAAACAUAAAGUUCUUAGAGCUAAAGCUUAAGCAGUUGGUUAAUAAUUUAUUCUCUCCCCUAUAUAUAUAUUAAAAUAUAUUGAUGCAUAAGAGUGUUCCAAAAUUGUAAGAAUGGGAACAAAGCAUACAAUUAUAACUAAAGAGGAUCAUUCUUACAAUGUAAAGAAGCAAUUAUAAGCUGCAUGUUGAAAUAUUUCAACCUCCAAAGGAACUGAAAUUGUCAAUAAAAUCUUUCUAUACCUGGAAACUCACAGAUGUGUACAAAUCAAAUAAUGCGAUGAAAUAACUUCAAAACACCUGUCUUGCUA